rnacentral:tRNA from 1 species
GGGGCCUUAGCUCAGUUGGUAGAGCACUGCCUUUGCAAGGCACGGGUCAGGGGUUCGAGUCCCCUAGGCUCCAC